UAGGGAAUCUUCGGCAAUGGACGAAAGUCUGACCGAGCAACGCCGCGUGAGUGAAGAAGGUUUUCGGAUCGUAAAACUCUGUUGGUAGAGAAGAACGUUGGUGAGAGUGGAAAGCUCAUCAAGUGACGGUAACUACCCAGAAAGGGACGGCUAACUAUGUGCUAG
rnacentral:rRNA from 1 species